rnacentral:rRNA from 1 species
CACGUAGGGGGCAAGCGUUGUCCGGAUUUAUUGGGCGUAAAGAGCUCGUAGGCGGUUCGGUAAGUCGGGUGUGAAACCUCCAGGCUCAACCUGGAGACGCCACCCGAUACUGCUGUGACUAGAGUCCGGUAGGGGAGCGUGGAAUUCCUGGUGUAGCGGUGAAAUGCGUAGAUAUCAAGAGGAACACCUGAGGUGAAGACGGGUUGCUGGGCUGAUACUGACGCUGAGGCGCGAAAGCUAGGGUAGCAAACGGG